UACGGAGGGUGCAAGCGUUAAUCGGAAUUACUGGGCGUAAAGCGCAUGCAGGUGGUUUGUUAAGUCAGAUGUGAAAGCCCUGGGCUCAACCUAGGAAUCGCAUUUGAAACUGACAAGCUAGAGUACUGUAGAGGGGGGUAGAAUUUCAGGUGUAGCGGUGAAAUGCGUAGAGAUCUGAAGGAAUACCGGUGGCGAAGGCGGCCCCCUGGACAGAUACUGACACUCAGAUGCGAAAGCGUGGGGAGCAAACAGGAUUAGAUACCCUGGUAGUCCACGCCGUAAACGAUGUCUACUUGGAGGUUGUGACCUAGAGUCGUGGCUUUCGGAGCUAACGCGUUAAGUAGACCGCCUGGGGAGUACGGUCGCAAGAUUAAA
rnacentral:rRNA from 1 species